rnacentral:rRNA from 1 species
UACGGGGGGGCAAGCGUUGUUCGGAAUUACUGGGCGUAAAGGGCGCGUAGGCGGCCUGAUAAGUAGGGGGUGAAAUCCUGCGGCUUAACCGCAGGGCUGCCUUCUAAACUGUCAGGCUGGAGCACAGUAGAGGCAGGUGGAAUUCCCGGUGUAGCGGUGGAAUGCGUAGAGAUCGGGAAGAACAUCAGUGGCGAAGGCGGCCUGCUGGGCUGUUGCUGACGCUGAGGCGCGACAGCGUGGGGAGCAAACAGG